rnacentral:rRNA from 1 species
GACGAACGCUGGCGGCGUGCUUAACACAUGCAAGUCGAACGAAGUGGCGCACGGGUGAGUAAUACGUGUGUACCCUGCCCUCCUUUUUGGGAUACGCCUUGGACACGGGGUCUAAUACCGAAUAAAGUGGGCUGGGCUCGCGGCCUAUCAGCUUGUUGGUGGGGUGAUGGCCUACCAAGGCGAUGACGGGUAGCCGGCCUGAUAUGGUGACCGGCCACAUUGGGACUGAGAUACGGCCCAGACUCCUACGGGAGGCAGCAGUGGGGGAUAUUGCACAAUGGGCGAAAGCCUGAUACAGCCAUGCCGCGUGUAUGAAGAAGGCCUUCGGGUUGUAAAGUACUUUCAGCGAGGAGGCGUUACUCGCAGAAGAAGCACCGGCUAACUCCGUGCCAGCAGCCGCGGUAAUAC